rnacentral:rRNA from 1 species
GACAGAGGGGGCAAGCGUUGCUCGGAAUCACUGGGCGUAAAGGGCGCGUAGGCGGGACGGCAAGUCGGUCGUGAAAUCCCUCGGCUCAACUGAGGGGGGUCGGCCGAUACUGCCAUUCUUGAGGGAUGCAGAGGAGACUGGAAUUCCCGGUGUAGCGGUGAAAUGUGUAGAGAUCGGGAGGAACACCGGUGGCGAAGGCGGGUCUCUGGGCAUUCCCUGACGCUGAGGCGCGAAAGCGUGGGGAGCAAACGGG